GCUUGAUGACUUGAUGGGCUGUAACACACACAGAGGUCCUGGCAAAAGCGGACAUGAUUGCAGUUGCUAAAGAAUUCAUCCAGUGUACCGAGCAACGCAGGCUAUUUUUUGGGAAGUUUGAGGAGCACUAAGAAAAAUACUCGGCCACACAAGGAUCCAGCAGCUUCUCGGAUGGACAUUGGCCAGGUAACGUCACAGCUGAUCAUCCAAAGUCACGUCACGUCACAUCUGAUCAUCCAGAGUCUUGUCACAUCACAGCUCAGCUCGUCUGUUGCAUCCAAAUUAUCAAGCUUUUGUAGCUUGAUCUGA
rnacentral:lncRNA from 12 species